AAAAAACAUGAAUUGAAGCCAAAUGAUUCACAGUACUUGAUGGACUAAACAUCUAGAAAGAAGCAUUUCAUCCACAACUGAAACUUAAGAGUGAUCUGCUGACCAAGGUCAAUAACUUCUGGUCUAACCUAAGACAAAAUAUACAAGGGUAGCAGAUCAUAGAACUUAUAUUGUUGUUAACAAGCCAGAAACCAUCUAUCUU
rnacentral:rRNA from 1 species